rnacentral:rRNA from 1 species
GACGAACGCUGGCGGCGUGCUUAACACAUGCAAGUCGAACGGAAAGGCCCUGCUUUUGUGGGGUGCUCGAGUGGCGAACGGGUGAGUAACACGUGAGUAACCUGCCCUUGACUUUGGGAUAACUUCAGGAAACUGGGGCUAAUACCGGAUAGGAGCUCCUGCUGCAUGGUGGGGGUUGGAAAGUUUCGGCGGUUGGGGCUGGACUCGCGGCUUAUCAGCUUGUUGGUGGGGUAGUGGCUUACCAAGGCUUUGACGGGUAGCCGGCCUGAGAGGGUGACCGGGCACAUUGGGACUGAGAUACGGACCAGACUCCUACGGGAGGCAGCAGGGGGGAAUAUUGCACAAUGGGCGGGAGCCUGAUGCGGCAGCGCCGCGUGCGGGAUGACGGCCUUCGGGUUGUAAACCGCUUUCGCCUGUGACGAAGCGUGAGUGACGGUAAUGGGUAAAGAAGCACCGGCUAACUACGUG